UACGUAGGGUGCAAGCGUUAAUCGGAAUUACUGGGCGUAAAGCGUGCGCAGGCGGUUAUGCAAGACAGAUGUGAAAUCCCCGGGCUCAACCUGGGAACUGCAUUUGUGACUGCAUGGCUAGAGUACGGUAGAGGGGGAUGGAAUUCCGCGUGUAGCAGGUGAAAUGCGUAGAUAUGCGGAGGAACACCGAUGGCGAAGGCAAUCCCCUGGACCUGUACUGACGCUCAUGCACGAAAGCGUGGGGAGCAAACAG
rnacentral:rRNA from 1 species